rnacentral:misc_RNA from 1 species
CAAAUUUGGUCUUUACCGACCAUCUCAACCAACUGUUGUGCAACUAACCGCGACUGGUGCUAACCGACGUCCUAGACGGGAUUUACUUCUCGGCUCGGGUCCAAGGUGAUCACCGUCAACCAGUUUACCAGCCUUUCUAACGUAACCUAAACCAAUCUCGAGCUCAGAUACUGGGCGUAGACAGAUUAAACACACAAAUA